rnacentral:rRNA from 1 species
AUUGAACGCUGGCGGCAUGCCUAACACAUGCAAGUCGAACGAGACCUUCGGGUCUAGUGGCGCACGGGUGCGUAACGCGUGGGAAUCUGCCCUUGGGUUCGGAAUAACAGUUGGAAACGACUGCUAAUACCGGAUGAUGUCUUCGGACCAAAGAUUUAUCGCCCAGGGAUGAGCCCGCGUAGGAUUAGCAUGUUGGUGAGGUAAAGGCUCACCAAGGCGACGAUCCUUAGCUGGUCUGAGAGGAUGAUCAGCCACACUGGGACUGAGACACGGCCCAGACUCCUACGGGAGGCAGCAGUGGGGAAUAUUGGACAAUGGGCGAAAGCCUGAUCCAGCAAUGCCGCGUGAGUGAUGAAGGCCUUAGGGUUGUAAAGCUCUUUUACCCGGGAUGAUAAUGACAGUACCGGGAGAAUAAGCCCCGGCUAACUACGUGCCAGCCGCCGCAGUAAUAC